rnacentral:lncRNA from 1 species
CGGGCUGCAGAGAAGGUGGACCCGCGCACCCGAGAGUGCGGAGAAAACCGAGCCGGACUCGCCUAGCCGCUAAGUACUCGGCCUGCGCGUUCCCUCGGCCACACCCCCGGCCUCUCACUGGCUGAGCCCAGAGCCCCACGAAAACCGCGCUUUCCCGGCUAAAGACCCGCUCGCGAGCGCGCAGCUGGCACACUCAGCCUCCUGCGUCUGCACCGGGGAGGGGGAGCUACGGCCCGCCGAACGCUCUCGCCUUGCGCCGCCGGCCCCCAGCGCAUCCCUUGUUACCUGAGCAACUGCACCCGGCUACCGGCGGGAUUUGCCCGCGCUGCGUGGGGUAGGGGUAGAGGCUGAGCGGCGGUGACGCCAGGUGAACGCAGAAUCCAGCUGAGGGGCUCUACUGUGCGCCCGGGAAAAAGAUUUCCCCGAGGGCAUCUCCUCAACUUGACCAGAUGGUCUCGACACGUGCGAGCACCUUCUAUGCCGUCUCUAAUCCAGGCCGGCCUGAGGAGUCAGUAUCCCUCCUUUCGCCGGGCCGGGGAGCAGAGCCUCCGAAGGUUCCUGGGCGCUGCUCUGUCUCCAGGGGCCAGUUCAGCCAGUCAGCCAGUCAGCCAGCAGGUAUUCGCGCUCCUAACAGAAGACUGCCCGAGGAACCUCCAGCAGCGCGUCCACGGCCCUGAAAUACUUCCUGCGUAUUUCUCCCCCAAACCAAGUAAGCUGCAGCAGUUUAAGAACUGCGUAUUCUCUGGGGGUUGCAUUUCUAGCUUUACUGAAUUGCUCACAGCCUGUUACGUUUUAGAUCAUUAACUUCUGACCCUCUGCCCCUGGAGGUCCAAUCUUUCUUGGUUAUAACGUGCUUCCCGUUUCUUCUCCUUCAAAAUGGAAGUUUUCUUUGUGGAAGCUUCCUUCAGAAGCUUAGAGACGUAGAACUGAGGUUGGGGAGGCUAGGAGCGUCCUGGAGAGAAAGACUGGAUUAGACGGCAGCUUCCUGUCCUGGUAGAGACGACGGUGCUUCUCUGGCCUGAGGGAAUCUUCCUAACCGGGUCAGAUCCUUUGGGACAAGAGGCACCAAUAGCAUCUAGUCAGCCAUACAGGCAUCUCCCAGUGGCGGAAAGCCUGCAUACCCUCUGGCUGAGGAAUUUUGCAGAGUGCUCCAAGAGAGGAGUUACUAGGUGCUGUAUUGAG